UUCAUGUGGCUCAGUCGGUAGAGCAUUAUGCUAAAAACACAAAGGUCGUGGGUUCAAAACCCAGGGAAA